UACGUAGGGGGCAAGCGUUGUCCGGAUUUAUUGGGCGUAAAGAGCUCGUAGGUGGUUUGGUAAGUCGGAUGUGAAAUCUCCAGGCUCAACCUGGAGGGGUCAUUCGAUACUGCCAUGACUAGAGGUCGGUAGGGGAGUGUGGAAUUCCUGGUGGAGCGGUGAAAUGCGUAGAUAUCAAGUGGAACACCAGUGGCGAAGGCGAGUCCCUGGACAACUCCUGACACUGAGGCACGAAAGCUAGGGGAGCAAACAGG
rnacentral:rRNA from 1 species